CAGGUGUUCCUGAACCCGGCUGGGGCAGGCACACGCCUGUGUGUGGGCACAUGAAAGCAGGAAGAACACCGGGCUGAGGAAAACUUAGAAUCGUAGAAUUAUAAAAUACGCUGAGUUUCAAGGCCCCCACAAGGAUCACCGAAAUCCCAUUCCUGGCCCUGCACAGAGCAGCUCUAAGAAUCGGACCAUUGAGAGCGUUGUCCAAAAACUCCUUGAGCUUGUCAUGCUUGGGGCCGUGACCCUAUCCCUGGGGAGUCUGUUCCGGUGACCAUGACCUCUGGCUGAAGAGCCUUCAAUAUCCAGCCUAAACUUCCCCUGACACAGCUUCACCCUGUUCCCUCGGGUGCUGUCAUUGGUCACCAGAGGGCAGAGAUCAGCGUUGUAAAAAACUUGGAUACUUACUUGCUAGUUCCCUCCGUGAAAUACUUUAACAGAGUAUCAGUGGUAGAAAAAUUAAAACAGAAAAAGAUAUCUCACGAUUUAUGCUCAUGGUAAGAGUUAAAGGUCUUGUAGUGCAUUUGUAAGUAAAAGUAAAUUGUAAAUGUAUGCCAUUGUUUGUGGUCACAGUAAACAAAUGUGCUUUAUUUCUGAACUUGCUACGCUUGCACGCUUUAAGGUUCCGAGGCGUUUGGGCAUUCAUUCCGAGUUGAGACGUUCUUCAGCAGCUCUGCGGCGGUGCUGCUCACACCUUGUGUCUGUGUUCCACAGGGCCCGGGUUUCCGUCCCCCCGCGCACUCGCACAGCGACUGGAUCGGCCCCCCGGACAAGCUCUCCAACCUGCGCCCCAUCAUCUUCUACGUGCCCCCCGAGGAGUCGGCGCUGGAGCGGCGGCUGCGGGAGGCGCGCCAGGAGGCCCAGGCCAGCAACCAGCGCUUCUGGGCACGGCACAACCGCGCCUUCCACCAGGAAAAAGAAGAAUUUAUUUAUUCAAGACUGAAAGCCAAGGGUCUGGAAAUGAGAGAUGAAUCAGGUCAAAAAGCAACACUGAAUGCAGAAGAAAUGGCUGACUUUUACAAGGACUUUCUAAGUAAAAAUUUAAAAAAGCAUUUGCAGUACAACAGAGAUUGGUAUAAACAUAACUUUAGGAUCACAUUCCUCAUGGGACAAGUAGCACUGGUGAGAGCUCUGAGGUGGCUUCGUCGGAGAAAGAAAAAUGCAGAACAGUAAUCACAGCUCCAUGGAGAAUGCAACACUAUGCUGUAAACUUGUGGUUUAUAGUAAUAUUCAAAAUCUGAAUGAUUGAUGCAAUAAUUACUUGAAUUUGUUUGUUAAACUAUGUAAAUAAAAGUCAAUACUUAAUUUAUAAUCACUGUGUACAUUUCCUUUACCCUUUACUCCAAGAAUAUUUAAAAUAUUUCUCACUGAAACACAAUGAAGAAAAGCUGUUCCUUGUUCAUGUCAGAUGGAAUGGGUAAUGAGUGUCCUGUUUUUACUAUAGAGUUAUGGCUGCUAAAUAAUGUGGGAUUGUGUGCUGCAGCUGAACUCUGGUCUCAGAAUCAUGUCUCCAUUAACUAUAUUAGUAUAUAAAGACAAAAAUACCUUUUUUUGCAACAGCUGCCAGUCUGGGGCAGUAGCUAUCUGUAAGUAAUACAAUAUGGAUGAAGGAACAAGUUUUAUUUGAGAGUGUAUGUACAAUCAGUUUAGAACAAUCCUUUCUUCAGUGUGAUUAUCUGCUAUUUUUUUGAUAAAGAUUUAAGAUACAGGUUCAUAUAAAGUGCUAAUACAAUAGGAGCUUCUUGGAUUGUUUUUUUUUUAAUUAAGAGAAAUGUGCCUCCCUUGGACAAUAGCUCCUCUGAUCCAUGACUGUAAAUGUUUUGGUUGCUGAACAAUUUACAAAUGUGCUGCCUGUCAUUUAAUCUUGAUAGAAGAUGAAACUGGUAAUUCCUGUAUGAAGAAUGACACAAGUAUGCAGUGUUCUCUCCUGGUUCAUUUCUUCCAAAAAAUGUGCUGUUCUCACCAGCUUCUCCAAGGCACUGAAAACAACUUGCCUGAGGGUUGUUUUUGUGGCUUCCAGUGUUCAUCGCCCAGAAACAAUAUCAGCAUACACUGGACCAUGCUAGCAUGUGAGCUGCUUUGUCUUUUAAAUACCUCCAGGGACAGUGACUCAACCACCUCCCUGAGCAGCCUGUUCGGCUGCCUGACAACCCUUCUGGUGAUGAAAUUUUUCCUAAUAUCUCAUCUCAACUUCCCCUGGCGCAACUCCAGCCAUUUCCUCUCCUGUUGCUUGUGACCUGGGAGAAGAGCACCAACUCUCACCUCUCCACAGCCUCCUCUGGGGUAGUUGCAGGGAGCAGUAACACUCCAGCAGUAACCUCCCUGUCCUUCCUGAACUGAGGGGCCCAGAACUGGACACACAGCUGAGGUGUGGCCUCACCAGUGCUGAGUACAGGGCAAUGGUCACUGCCCUGGUCCUGCUGGCCACACUGUUGCUGACACAGGCCAGGAUGCUGCUGGCCGUGGCCACCUGGGCACACUCUUGCCUCAUGUCGGACACUACUACAUGACAGGACCUCUGCUUGUCCUCGUUGACCCUCACACCAUUGGCUUUGGCCCAUCAAUCUAGCCUGUUCAGAGCCCUCCUGCCCUCCAGCAGAUCACACUCCUGCCCAGCUUGGUGUCUUCUGCAGACUGAGGGUGUCCUUGAUUCCCUCAUCCUGGUCAUUGAUAAAGACAUUCAACAGAACUGGCCCCAACACUGCACCCUAGGGAACACUGCUUGUGACUGGAUGCUCAGUGGAGGCAGCACCAUCCACCAGCACUCUGGGCUCAGCCAUGCAGACAGUUUUUAACAGUGAAGAGUGCACCCAUCCAAGCCAUGGGUAGCCAGUUUCUCCAGGAGAAUACUGUGGAAAACACUCAAAGCUUUACUGAAGUCUAGAAGACAACAUCCACAGCCUUCCCCUCAUCCUCUCUGCAGACCACCUUGUCACAGAAGGACAUUGGGUCAGUCAAGCAGGACCUUCCAUGUGAUCAUUCUCAGGCACUUCUGUGGUUUCCAACACAUCAAUAUCCCUUGUGUCACUGCUGCCACAUGGAUCUCCAUCCCCAGUCUCCAUGAGACAACAGAUGGAAGGACCUCCCUAGCACACCAUCCCUCAGACACGGCUGUGUUGCCCCCAGGCUAUCUCCAGGCCUGGCUUUAUCCUUUUCCCCCUUCAAAUUCAUUAGGAUUCUGUGUGGAGUGCUGAGUCCCUUCAUCUAAAACCUAUUGAGGGAGUGAGAUAUUUAUCUAUUAGGCAACUGUUGAGAUUUGAUUUAAAUAAAGUAUUUAAUAGAACCACUGUGAA